GGAAGUAAAAGUCGUAACAAGGUUUCCGCAGGUGAACCUGCGGAAGGAUCAUUACUGAUUUAGCGAACCGAGCGUUAGCGAGGUUUUGCGAUCACUUAUACUUAAAACCCACUCUUUGAACGUAUAAAAUUUUAUGUAUUAAUGAUAAAAAUAAAAGAUCACUUUCAACAACGGAUCUCUUGGCUCUCGCAUCGAUGAAGAACGUAGCGAAGUGCGAUAAGUAAUGUGAAUUGCAGUAUUCCGUGAAUCAUCGAAUCUUUGAACGCAUAUUGCACUUUCUGGUAUUCCGGAAAGUAUGCCUGUUUGAGGGUCAGUUAAAUAAAAAUCGGUGUUGUUGCCGCUUUCCGUGGUGACGCGUCGGAAUUGAGUCGUCUUCGGUUAAGUGACUUAAAAUUUUAUAUGAUUUUCGAACGUAUUUAAAUUUAUUUGAACGUUUGAUAUCGAAUGCUUAUUAGGUUCGGUCAUCCUCAUGACUCGCGCCUAUAAUUUUUCAUUAAAUGACCUCAAAUCAGGUAAGAAUACCCGCUGAACUUAAGCAUAUCAAUAAGCGGAGGA
rnacentral:rRNA from 1 species